rnacentral:rRNA from 1 species
AGUAGUCGAUGGGAAACAGGUUAAUAUUCCUGUACCUCCUGAUACUGCGAUGGGGUGACGGAGAAGGCUAGGCUAUCCGGGUGUUGGACGUCCCGGUUUAAGCAUGUAGGAAGCAGCUUUAGGCAAAUCCGGAGCUGCAUAUUCCGAGAUGUUAUGACGAGCUUCCUUAGGGAGGCGAAGUAGUUGAUGCCAUGCUUCCAAGAAAAGCCUCUAAGCUUCAGGUAUCAGAAGACCGUACCGUAAACCGACACAGGUGGGUGAGGAGAGAAUCCUAAGGCGCUUGAGAGAACUCGGAUGAAGGAACUAGGCAAAAUGGCACCGUAACUUCGGGA